CUGUGGGGAGAGAAGAAUAAGUGCGGGCUAAUACUCCGCAUGAUGACGGUAUCUCCUUAGCAAGCACCGGCUAACUCUGUGC
rnacentral:rRNA from 1 species